rnacentral:rRNA from 1 species
GACAGAGGGUGCAAGCGUUGUUCGGAAUCAUUGGGCGUAAAGCGCACGUAGGUGGCCUUGCAAGUCGGAUGUGAAAGCCCAGGGCUCAACCCUGGAAGUGCAUCCGAAACUGCUCGGCUCGAGUCCCGGAGAGGAUGGCGGAAUUCCGAGUGUAGAGGUGAAAUUCGUAGAUAUUCGGAGGAACACCAGUGGCGAAGGCGGCCAUCUGGACGGAGACUGACACUGAGGUGCGAAAGCGUGGGGAGCAAACAGG